rnacentral:RNase_P_RNA from 1 species
UGAGUCGGCUGGACGGCCGCUUUGCGUAAAGGCUCUGCUUUUUGCGCCGAGAGGAAAGUCCGGGCUCCAUAGGGUAGGGCGCCAGGUAACGCCUGGGGGGUGAAAGCCCACGGAAAGUGCAGCAGAAAGUAAACCGCCUAAGCGAGGAGGCUAUGCCUCUUAGCUGGUAAGGGUGAAAAGGUGCGGUAAGAGCGCACCGCGCAACUGGCAACAGUUUGCGGCGAUGGUAAACCCCGCCCGGAGCAAGGCCAAAUAGGAACCCAAUGCCGUGACCCGCGGUGGGUUCGGGUAGGCCGCUAGAAGCCGGUGGUGACGCCGGCUCCAGAUGAAUGGUCGUCCACGACAGAACCCGGCUUAUAGGCCGACUCGCUUU